UGGUGGUUUGAAUUGUCAGGUUAAUUCCGUUAACGAACGAGACCUUAACCUACUAAAUAGUUGAACUAUUUUUAUUGCAGUUACAAGGUGAAAGCCUUGUACCUAGUAGAAAUAUUAGGUUUGUAAUAUAUCUAAAUAGGUUACAACUUCUUUAUGGGACAAUCUGCGUUUAUAGCAGAUGGAAGUAAGACAAUAACA
rnacentral:rRNA from 1 species